rnacentral:lncRNA from 1 species
CAUUUUCAAAAGAUGAUUACUUCAGUGUGCCCAGGCCUGCAGGACAUAAGUACAUGGGCAGGAGUGGUAAGAGCUAUAAUUGUUCUUAAUGGGAAAAUAUGCAGGUUGUUUCCAAUAUUUGCCUGUUAAAACCAAACGGCAGAGAACAUCUUUCUGCAUGUCUCCAUGGGCGUUUAUAUGAGAUUCUUUCCUGAGAUAUAUCUGCUAGAAGUGGAGUCUGUGGAUCAUCAGGUGUAUAACAGGCUCCUGCAGCCUUCUCUUCCAGUCCUACUUCUAGUCAUCUUACUCAUCUCUCCUUGGCAAAGAGGGAACUUCAAAUGCCCCACAGACUUGGAACAAACCCCAAAGCUCGUCACCCAGCACACAAAUGCAACCAUUUCUGGAUUCAUUCCUCCCAGGAUGGAAAGAAGUGUCUAAGAAAUGACAUCUUGAAGACAGGGGACUCCAGAAUCCGUCGAGACCCACCCAGGUACUCCAAGCCACUGCUGCUUCACAGAUCCCAGGAAAACAACUCCGUUUUUAGAAAUUGUUCAAUCACUCAAAUAGCAUUGAAUAAGCACCUAAUGGGCGUUUGGUACCAGGUGAACACAAAAGAAAAGUCAGCUGUUCUUCUUCAUCCUAAGAGCUUAUGAGUUUAUGGUUGAUUUUCAAGACAAACCCACAAACAUGUCCUUUCUUGACCCAGAAAGAAAAACAAUAGUAAUAUCUUGAUGUUGAGCAGUCCUUACCUCUGCAGACCCUGCGUUGCCAGCCCUGUGCUUCCACUGUUCAUGGCAUCCUCUAG